UGGAAGCUGGGGAGUGUAAACCUUCCAAAGCUAUUGCGAUGGCAAAAUCAAAACACCAGUAAACAGCAGUGCCUGGAACUGCAGCUUUUGAAAGAGUGAUUUGGAAGCAUUUAGUGCUAUCAGCAAUCCAUAUCCUGUAAUUUAGAGAUGGAACACAAGAACUUUCCAGAAACGUACAAUGAAUGCAUGAAAAUGCUUUCAAGAGAAGCAACACUUCUCAGCAUGAAUUCUAUACAUUUCAUCUUGUCUGAUGUUAACAUUGCUAAAUAAGCUCAAGAACACAGAUAUAGAGUUGGAUACUAUCUGCAUACUGAUGAUACUUCACUCCAGCUCCUGAUGACAGCUCCCAGCAGCUUCAUAUAGAUGUUAAAUAACAUGGGAGACAAGGUGAAACCCUGCGGAACACCACAGGACAACUGCUAUGGUGCCAAACAAUAGCCUCCCAUAACUACUUGCUGGAAGCAUCUCCAGAGGCAGGAACAGAGCCACUGAAGCACAGGUCCCACAACCCCAAGUUCCCUGAAUUGCUCCAGAAGGAAACCAUGGUCAACAGUAUCAACAGCCUCCAAGAGACCAAGGAGAACACCACCACAAACAAUUUCUCAAACCUAACCAUAGUAGCUCCAACUUACAUGAGUCCCAGCCAGGAUGCCAAUGACCAGGGAUGGAAGUUAUAGUCCAGCAGCAUCUGGAGGGCUACACGUUCCCUAUCCUUGAGCUAGACCAAUGGAGAGCAAGCUCAAGGGAAAAGACCUUUGGAGAAUUUUAAAGCAAAAUACCAUUUGGAGGUAAGAGGAGCAGAAAAGAAAAAACUGUUGGAUAAGGAAAGGAAGAAACAAAAGCUUGGAAAGGAAACAAAUAGUGAGUAAGGCAGAAUGCCAACAGCUUUGAACACAGAGACACUUUGGAUGAUCAAUGCAAAAGGUGGACAGAUGAUUGGAACCUGCUGCAAAAAGCUGAACAAAACAAUAGCUGCUGUUUAUGGCUGGAUGGAGGAGUUUUUCUGCCUAAGCCAGAAAAUUUCUUUUAGAGGAGAUUCAGACAGGGACACAAUAUGACUCAUGGAAGGGCUUAACGGUUUUGUAUAAGGGAACCCCUCAUCUUCCUGUCCUGGACUUUUUGGCCAGCAACUUCUGCAUUUGUGUCUUAUUGGAUGCAUGGAACUUUGGGAUAUUCUGAAGACAUAUGUUAUAUUCUGUUGAGUUACAUUGUAUUGUUGUUGCCAUUUUUGCAAC